rnacentral:tRNA from 1 species
CCCCAACUACCUCUGUUGGUAGAGCAUGAGACUCAUAAUCUCAGGUUAGUGGGUUUGUGUUCCACGUUAGGCG